AGACAUUUCGCUGCUGCACGAGAGGGAGAGAAAGCAUAGCAUCGCCCCGAGAUAACCAGAAAUACAAUCAACUUACAACGUCUCUCCAAACUGGAAAAGGCGACUGUGCAACCACCACCACAUGUUCAGGUCUCGAUCCCUCGGGCUGUCUCUCUUUUUUUUUAACUCUCACGCCAGGCAGAGGGGUGUGUGUUUCCCUUGGCACAGCAGCACAAAUCAAUAAACACUGCAGCUGCGGUGCAAGUAGCAGCCCCGCGCGUCCGUCGGUCCGUCCGCCCCCUCCCCCACCCUCCUUCCACCCGAGACCCAGAGCGCCAUCCAAGCCCCAUUAUCCGGCUUCAGCGCUCCGUGCGUCCGGCCCAGGUAACAACUUCCCCAAAAACCGAAAGAGAAAAGCGCGAGGCGCACGCACACCGGCCCAUCCCGGCGCAGAGACCUCGUCUGCCCCGGGAGGGGGAUCUGUCUGUGGUGCUUCCCGGUCUCUAAGCCCAGGUGAUGUACCUGCUCCCCCUUCACCUUCUGCCAUAAUUGGAAGCUUCCUGAGGCCCUCACCAGAAGCAGAUGCCGGCACCAUGCUUCUUGUACAGUCUGCAGAACUGUGAGCCAAAUAAACCUCUUUUUAAAAAUAAACUACCCAGUCUCAAGUAUUCCUUUAUAGCAAUGCAGAAAAGACUAACACACCUUUCUUGGGAGAAGAGGACAGAAACAUGAAUGCCUUUCAUGGACCAUGAACCAUGUGAGAUGCUUUCCAAGUCAUUGUCUUACUGUUCAUAGAAUUGUCUCACUAAAUCCUCAGAAGUCUUUUAACCUGGGAGUUAAUUAUUCCCAUUCUACAGACUCAGAAAAGUUAAGCAACUUAUCCAAGGUCAAGCAGCUAAGAAGUGGAACCAGGCCCUUUUGGAUAACAUUUUCAUCACACUUGUGGCCUUCUUAAAUCUCUAUCCCCCAAAAUAAUUUUGGCAUACACACCUGCUCUCUGCCAUUUGCCAAACACAAGAUGGGAUUUCACUCUGUCACCCAGGCUGGAGUGCAGUCGUACAAUCUUGGUUCACUGCAACCUCCACCUUCCUGGAUCAAGCAAUCCUCCCACCUCAGCCUCCUGAGUAGCUGGAACUACAGGAUGUGCCACCAUGCCCAGCUAAUUUUUUGUAUUUAUAUUUUUUUUGUGGAGGCAGCAUUUCGCCAUGUUGCCCCGGCAGCACAAUUUUUGAUAUAUUGUGAUUUUCUGUUCUUUAAAAAAAUUCACAUUCCUACUCAAUUUUGUAUAUUAACUUUGCGACUACUGUUCUUAACAACAUUCUCAAGGUAAUCUAAGCUACAGUCCUUACAAAAU
rnacentral:lncRNA from 10 species